AGUUUCAAAUUUUGGUUUUUAGGAUAUUUCGAGGACGCGGAAUUCGAUUCCCAACUUGAUACCUGAACUUCACUCUUGGUGAGUGUCCCUGUCUGUUCUAUGCUUACCUGUUUAAAGUACUUCCUUGACUCGAUAUGUGAUAAUUUGCAAAACUGGUUUUUGAUCCAUCGAAGUGAGCUGUGUGUACUUUAUCGCACUAGCCGUUCGAGUGGUGACUUGUGCAAAACCAUUUUUCUCCUGAAUCCUUGAUUCUAAAUGUAGUUGCGUCGUUGGGUGAAUCCCUCGACUUCUGUAUCCAACUACCCUGAAUCUAAAAGUAGUUACGUCGUUGGGUGAAUCCCUCGACGCAUGAAUCUAACUACCAUAAUGUCGUUGGGUGAAUCCCUCGACCAAUCAUCUACGGGUAUAUCUCGAGUAUACUGCGUCCUUAGUCGGUGAGCGGGCCCGGGACCGGGGUAUGAAUGGUGACGGGUUAGGAUUAAAAUGAGUGGAUCUACAUGGACUAUAAGUAGUGAGAGUUGACGGAGGGUCAACUACGAUGAAUGGUGGUCAAGCGAGGAAAAUGGCUCCUGAGAGCCCCUGUAUCCUACCUUGUGCUGUUAUACGCUUUCCUAACUGUUCAAUUUGUUUAAGUUAUUUCUCGCUGUUUGAUUUAUGUGACUGCAUGUUUUGGGGCACCACUGAGCGUUAGCUCACCCCAUGUUUAUUUGUUUUCCUUACAGGAUGGGAGGUUUGAAAGUAUUUGAACAGCUUAUAUUUCCUAUGGUUGUACUUGAACAACUUGAAUUUAAUUUUCGGUUUGUAAUGACUUCUAAGCUAAGCAUUGUACCUUUCAUUUUGGAUUGCCACUUGAAGCUGGAAAAGUGUAAUCCCUAAUUCUAGUAUUCGGUAUGUAUGUUUGUAUUGGUAUAGUAUGUCCUUAACCCUUGCGAGCGACGCGCGAAGUGUUUAAGAGCCGUCGAUUGGCUAAGUUAUAUGCUGUUAUCUUUGAAGUUAAUGUGGUGAUAGAAAUCGAUUUGUUUCGGAAGAAUCAUUUUUGUAAUAGCUUAGGUUAAUCGUCGGAAGGUUUUGGGUUAGAAUGCUUGUGUGAGUCCUGGCGAGAGCUGGGC
rnacentral:lncRNA from 1 species